rnacentral:lncRNA from 1 species
CAGGGAUCUCCAUUGGCAUAUCUUCCGUGUAGUUCAUUUAAAAAAUUAAUACAUGUUUGUUUGUAUUCACUAAUUAUGCCAAUCACAGACAAUUGCAGGCAUUAAAAGGGAAUAAGCGAAGACAACUCUUUUUUUGUUACAUCUUCUUAAUUAUUACUACAUGGUCAAAUAGGUGAAAAGUAAUGAAUUUCAAAAGCAGGCUAUGUUCCAUUAAUUUACAGCGUAUUCGAGAAAAGAAGCAUAUACUUAGUAAUUCUUAUUUGAAAGAGGACAGAGGAAGUGUCAAUCCACAGAGAUCAUGACUUCUCAUCUCUUAAUUUUCAUAUUUUCAUUUUUCACGAGGACCAAAUGUAAGAAGUACAGAGGUAAAUACUGUACGCCAGCUACUCUGGCCUUUUGGCACAGUAAACACAUGAGAUCCAAAUUUCUGGGACUUUAGGCAGUAAAAAUGCAAUCUUUAGUUAGUAGAGAACCAAAUUAUGAUAAUAGAAAGACAAUUUGAAUUUCACGUACAACAUCUGAUCCUAAUAUCUACUUCCUCCAAUAAAAUCACAUUGAGCAGAAUUAAAUGGUAAAGAAAACCAAUUAUUUACACUUAGCCACAUUAAUUGAAACCAAUUAUUUACACUUAGCCACAUUAAUUGAGUUCAAAGUACGUACCAAACUUCUCCAUUUCCCCAAUAAUUUAUCAUCAAGGAUACAUAUAUAGACUUAAACGAAUCUAAUCUCUGGGACACACCAAAUUAAGGCAAAUUCAACGUAUCCACUUGCUAGCAGAAGCAGAGUAAAUAACAGUCAAAAAGAGCAUUGAAUAAUAAAAAUACACCAACCACUCAUCAGAA